AAUACCGUGACCGAACGCAGAGUUCCUCCCCAGCCUGGGCCUGUGCAUGCACCCUCGCUCUUGCAGACGCCCUGGAGCCGUAGGGAAACAGGUAAGCGGGCACAGAAGCGGACUUUGGGCACAGUGGCAUGCAGAGAGCUAUGCGUGUUCAGCAGGUGGGGUGGAGUCGGAGGGUGGUCCCUUUGUUUAGCUACUCAUUCCUGUGUCCAGCUCCCCAUCCCUCUGUACUCUUUCCAGCCCUCUGUUGACAUCUCCAUCCCCCUACCUGGCUUCCUGUCACACUAUCCAGCUCUUCGUCAUCCUCUUCCUCUCCCUAUCCCACUACCUGCCCACUGUCCUUCUGUCCAGCUACUCGUCCCUCUGCUGCUCUCGUCUGCCUCUCUGUGCUUCUCUUUGCCUUCCCAGCCCUCUGUCCACCUCUCCGGCCUUCUCUUUCUAUUUCCAUCCCUCUGCUCAGCUCCUCACCCAUCUGUUUGCCUCCCUGUCCCUCUUUUCCCCUGUUUUGUCCCAUCUCUCUGUCUGACUUCCCCUCCCUCUUUUUCUCUCCCCACCUUUCUGGCCAGCUCGUCGUCCUUCUCAUUCUCUUCCCAUCGCUCCAGCCGGCUCCCUGUCCCUCUCUUCCCGUCCUCGUUCCUCUCUCCGGUUCUUCCCCCUACUCUUUUGCUCCCUGUCCCUCUCCCCGCCUCUCCUUCCCUCCUCGCCCCUCUCUAUUCUUCUGCCCACCUCCCCUUCCCUCUUUUUCUCUCUUCUGCUCCCUGGUCCUCUGUGCAGCCCUCCCUCCAUCUGUGUGGCCCUCUCUCCCUCUCUUUCUAUUCCUUUGUCCAGCGCCCUGACCCUGGGGCCAGGUCUCUAUCCUUCUCUUUCUUUCUCCAUCCCUCUGCCAAGCUCUCUAACCCUCUUUUCUUCUGUUCUGCUCCCUGUCCCCGUAUCCAGCUGGAGGUCUGUCAUUGCUGUGUGUUUUGGCUGGUGCGGCCAGUGCCAAGAGGCGGUUGGCGCUCAGCAGAGCUGGUGAUCAGCAGUGCCCAGAGGGUGCCAUUGAUCGGCCUGGUUCGGGUCACAUCGGACACCUCCACGGUGACACUGCCUGCGGAGGUGCAGGGCUGUGGGUGUGCAGCAGGGGAGGACUAG
rnacentral:lncRNA from 1 species